rnacentral:rRNA from 1 species
UACGGAGGGUGCGAGCGUUAAUCGGAAUUACUGGGCGUAAAGCGUGCGCAGGCGGUUUUGUAAGCCGGAUGUGAAAUCCCCGGGCUUAACCUGGGAAUGGCAUUCGGGACUGCAAGGCUGGAGUGCGGCAGAGGAGACUGGAAUUCCUGGUGUAGCAGUGAAAUGCGUAGAUAUCAGGAGGAACACCGAUGGCGAAGGCAGGUCUCUGGGCUGACACUGACGCUCAGGCACGAAAGCGUGGGGAGCAAACAGG